UUGGGUGUGUGUGUGUGUGAGUGUGUGUGUGUGUGUGUGUGUGUGUGUGUGUGUGUGUGUGUGUGUGUGUGUGGGCAGGACUUGAUUCCGUCCAUCGAUGAGACGGUUUACUCAUACAUGCUACUGUAACGGUGGGCGUAAAGUAUGAUGGCGA